rnacentral:rRNA from 1 species
CCAACAAAAAUAGCGUCUAAGCAAAAACCCAAAAGAUAUCGCCUCUCCCAACUAACUCCAGCAAACUCAAAGAACAAUCCUAUACACAUAGGAGCUCCUAUGCUAAAACUACUAAUAUGGACACCACUCCUUUUAGCACACCUAUUUCUCAACCCCACCUGAGGAUUAACAGACCAUAAGAGGAAAGAAAACACUCUCCCCAAUUCUAAUACCACUGUAAACCCAACCCCGGUGUGCAAAAAUAAAAUUAAAAGUCUUAAAAGGAACUCGGCAAACACAAAUCCCAACUGUUUACCAAAAACAUAGCCUUUAGGAAAACAAGUAUUAAAGGUACUGCCUGCCCAGUGAAUUUUUCAACGGCCGCGGUAUCCAUAACCGUGCAAAGGUAGCGAAAUCACUUGUCUAUUAAAUAUGGACCAGUAUGAAGGGCCACAUGAGGGUUUAACUGUCUCCUAAGACCAAUUUAUGAAACUGAUCUUCUAGUUCAAAAGCUAGAAUAGUAAUAUAAGACGAGAAGACCCUGUGAAGCUUAAAAAAUCCCACUAAGAAAUAGUGGGUAUUUUUAGUUGGGGCAACUUUGGAGAACAAAUAAACCUCCAAAAAACAAAAGAAAGACCUACUAGUCAAGAACGACCCAGUAUGACUGAAAAAUGGACUAAGUUACUCCAGGGAUAACAGCGCAAUCUUCUUCAAGAGCCCAUAUCUAAAAGAAGGUUUACGACCUCGAUGUUGGAUCAGGACACCCAAGCAGUGCAGCAGCUGCUAAAGGUUCGUUUGUUCAACGAUUAAAGUCCU